rnacentral:lncRNA from 1 species
UUCAGUUCACACGCGUCACCGCCUCCCACCUGUCUCGCCUCCUUUCACCACCAUUCCCUCCAAAUUUCCCCCGGCCUUCUCGCCUUCAAUUCAUCGCUCCCCAACCCCUCACUCCGCUCCGCGCCCGAUUCCGUUCCGCCUCCGCUGCACCGGCACUAGCCCUAAACCCCGGUCGCUGCGUCGCUUUGCUUCGCCCGAUCAUGUACGACUCUCUCUAGAGAUUUCAGUUGUUUCAUGUUUUUUUCCUGAUUUUUUUCCCGUGGUCGUUCCCCAUUGGAUUGCAUCUUUUUUUUUACGUCCUUUUCCCCCGCUUUGGAGGGCUCAUCUCAUCCUUGAAGUUGCAUUUUGCAGCAUGUUUGGUUAAUUUUACUUGCAUUUUAAAAGUUCCUGCGUGAUCAUCAUGCAUCGCGGCGUUGUUCGUUUCGCCGCGGAUAAUCUCCGCGAACUUUUCUCUCUCUGUUAUGUUAUUUUUCAGCAAUUUCGCCGCAAUGUGGUCGAACCGUAGCGAGAAAUUUCCGAAUUAGUUUUAGCAAAAUAAAUUUCCUGCACUUUUCAGUCUCCUGUUUGGUUCUAGCAUAACCCUAGCUGGUCAUCCGGAUUUAUCGUGCCGAAGGCUUCAAAUUAACUCUUUUAUUUGUUUGUAGAGAUCGAAUCGAAGCGGGGAUAUAUGUACAGGAACCAGUUUAGGUCGGAUCGAUUGAACGAUCACGCCACCGCCGCGCGAAGGCCCGGCCGCGGCAGCGGCAGCGGCACGCAUUGGGUC